AAACGAGGAAAAGGUUUGUCACGUGUCAUUGUUAAAUAGCGGCGAUGUGGGCGUGGCUAAAUGGCGUUGAUGUGAAGCGGAAUCCAGAGAGCCUACAGAUAUGGAAACUGCUCUGAGGCAGAUUCUCCAGCAGAACCAGAAGAAGAGGAGAUGCAGAGAAGAGAUAACAUCAAGAAACUGGUCAUGAUUGAGAUCAAACUGCCAGAUGAAGGACAGCAGACUGAAGGACACAAAGAACCAUCAGAAAUGGAUGAACAAUUUCACUGACAAUGAAGCUAUAAGAACAGAUAAACAACCCUAUAAUAUAUUACAGUGUUUUAUAUGUUGAUAUAAAUAACUAAUAGAAGAAAAGUAGAUUCUUAAUCACACACCGCUUGGCGUUUACCUCAAUAUAGUUGACACUUUUCUAAAUGUAUUACAAAAACUAAUAAUUGAUUGUAGAUGUAGAAGAUGCCCCUCCACCUCAAUUUCUUGCCUCCUGCUUUCUGGAAAAUGUUUUCUUUUUCUUGAAUGCAUAUAUUUCCGUCCGUCCCUCCCUCCCCUCGGAUUUGCCCGCUUUGUCCCGGCCUGCCUCUGGGUGUUGUUCUCUUCCACUGGAGGUCACUCUGUGGAGCUGGGGAUGGUUUCAUAACAACAGCCUGAAGAUUCAUGAAAUGACGGAGUAACACAGAGCUUUGAGGACGGAUUUGGACUGUAGUUAAUGUUAGCAGUCUGCUACGCUGAUUCAGGAUAUGGAUGGAUGGAUGGAUGGAUGGAUGGAAGGAACUUGCGUUUAGAAGAAUGUACUGUAAUUACUAGUUCAACAGUAAAAGUCUUGGGAGAACUACCCCCAUUCAUCAAUCAGCCCUCUCACAUACAGAAUCACGAUAGAUAUUUAACCAGUUGGUAAAUAUUUCCUGCAACUGUUUUCUGCUUAUUUCAAUGAGUUGGGUUUGCUAUUUAACCUGUUCGCCUUCGGCACAGAUUUUGGGACUCACAGCUAAAAUGCCCAAACUAACUUCAAAUGUUAACAGUUCCUGAUAAAAAUGUGCUACACACACAAUUUAAAUAUCUCUGGAAAAAGACACUUUGAGCUUUACUGUCAAAGUUGAUAUUCAUCUCCCCUCAUCAGUUAUGAAAUUCAUGUAAAUGCAUUCUUAAUGUGUUAAAGUCACGAGAGAUGCAAAUGUUAUUCUUUAAAGGGUGAAUAAGUUGUUUUUGGAUGUUUAAUAGUAUGAAGUGAGUUCAGUAUGUGCACCACGUGUGCUAAUCACACAUUCCAUGCUAAUGAUAAAGACAACAAGGUCUCAUAGUGACUACGAUGCAGUGUAUCUGGGCGAAAUACAAAUAUAACACAUAUUUGUGAUAAAUGUAAUCGUGUAAAUGGUUUAUCAGUUAAAAAUAGGUGUUCUAAAAGCUGGAGUUGAUUAAAGGAAGUUUCAUAUACAUUCCUGUAUUAAAAAAAUGCUGACAGCAUCCCAAAGAGCUAAUAAGUUAAAAUAUGCACAUAAAAUCUAUUGUAACAGUUAAGUCGUGUUUAGAUUAUGUGAGUAUAUACAGUGAGGAAAAUAAGUAUUUGAACACCCUGCUAUUUUGCAAGUUCUCCCACUUAGAAA